rnacentral:rRNA from 1 species
AUGGAGGGAGCUCCCGUGACCGCAGCCACGGGGGUCUUGGGGCCCGUCGUAGCCAAGCUCGGUGCUUUGCUGGGCAGCGACUACAAGCUUCGGCGCCAGACUCGCAAGGAUGUCAAGUCCAUCAGAUCCAAGCUCGAGUCUGUGCACUCUAUCCUUUGGGCCAUAUGGGAGAAGGAGAUUCUUGAUGCCGAAUGCAAGGCGUUGAAGAAGGAAGCGCUAGAUCUCGCCGAUGAUAUGGAGGAUGCCAUCGACGACUUCAUCCUCACUAUGAAACGCAGCCGCAGAAGCAAGCGCUUGAUACAGAGCAAGAUCAAAGCCAGCUGCCCUUUCCAAGAUUUCAGGACAAGAGUAGAUGAAGUGUCAGGCAAGUGCCACACCAAGUGGAAGAACAAGUGUGCUGAUCCUAUCUCCAGCUUAUUUUCAAGAAGAAGUGCAAAAUCCAGUCCCCCCAGCAAGCCGCCUCCUCCUCCUCCUCCUCGAGCUCCAUUUGUCCGCAAGGAUGCAUCAGAGAUCUUUGGCAUGGAGGGAUGGAGGAAUGACCUCAUCACAUACCUGGUAGGAGGAGAAGAAGAGAGCACAACGGUGCAGCCGCAGCUCAAAAUGGCAUCCAUUGUUGGGAUGGCCGGUGUGGGGAAAACAACACUAGCCAGCCUUGUGUAUGAGCAUGAGGACAUUCAAAAUCAUUUCCAGUCCCGGGCUUUUGUGUCCGUCACUCUAGCUCCUAAUAUGAAGGAGGUUCUCACAAAAAUUCUCAACCAAGUAGGAGCCGAACCACUUGCUAGCAACGAAGCAGGGACAGAGGAAGGUCUUAUCCAUGCUAUAUCGAAUUUCCUAGAUGACAAAAGGUACCUAGUAAUAAUUGAUGACAUGUGGCAUCGUGGACAAUGGGAUAUCAUCAGUAAGUCAUUCCCACAAAAUAAUCUGGGCAGCAGAAUUGUCAUGACAAGUCGUAUUCAUUCUAUACCAAGAGAUGAUUUGGAUAAUAACAACUUCUACAUCAAAAUGAAUCCUAGAUGGGAUUUUUUAAAUGGAAGAUGGUUGUACCGGCCUGAUAGGUUCCCCUACACAACUGAUGAGGAAGAUAUCGCUGCUCGGAUGAAACCUGACAUGGUUGGAGAAGGUUUUGACUGUGACCAUCCUAUUGUGCGCAUGUGUGGUGGUGUCCCUUUGGCACUACUUUGCAUGUUUUCAGCAAUGACAAUGGUCCAACAGCAACAAGAACAACUAGGGGUACAUGUAAAUGCACGUGUUGUGCAAGAUAUGAUUGAGAAGCAAGUUAAGCAAAGUGGAAUUCAGAACACUCCAGGGUUUGAACCAUUGGUAGAGAGUUUGCAGCUUGGCUACGCCGAUCUUCCUCACCAUAUGAUGAAGACCUGCUUGUUGUACUGCAGUAUAUACCCUGAGAAUUAUAGUUUUCACAUGAAUGAUUUGGUCAUGCGAUGGGUCGCUGAAGGAUUUACUUAUAAAGAAGAUGCAGCAAAAGAUUAUCUUGAACAGCUUGGCAACAGGGGGUUGAUGCUGCGGGUAUAUGACGGGGCCUACCAAUUCCAAAUGAACCCGAUGAUGCGGAAUUUCCUUAGAUGGAAAUCGCGUGAAGACAAUUUCAUUGCUUGCAGUUCCGACAUCACAUUGGCAUAUGCAUCUGGAAUCCAUCGGCUGUGCAUCGAUGAUUAUCAUGUUGAUGACGGUGCGAUGGAGGGGGUGGAUUGGUCCCAGAUUCGAUCUCUUGUUGUUUUUCAAGGUGCUAAGAUAUAUGUCCCUUUUGAGAAGUUGGAACAUGUGCGAGUGUUGGAUCUUCAAUAUCAUCCUCAGGAUCUUGAAUUCAACAAGGUUAAUUUCAGUCUUUAUGAGGAUCUUGAAUUCGAGGCUCUUGGGAAAGAUUGUGUGAAGGAUAUAUGUGGACUGCUGCGUGUGAGGCACCUUUUUGGCCUAGAGGGGAAAGAGGUUAACGAGAUACCACCAGAAAUAGCGAGGCUGCGCUAUUUGGAGACUUUGCAGGUCAGGCGAACAUUGAUCAGAGAGCUUCCCAGUGAAAUUGGGGACCUACAGCAAUUGAAGACUCUAACCGUGAGUCGCAACCAAAAUCUGGUAGAGCUGCCCAGGGAGAUUGGGGACCUCGAGAAUUUGGAGACUCUGGUCCUGAUAUACAACCGCAGGCUCACAGAGGUACCUCGUGAGAUCGGGAAACUGCAAAAUUUGAAGCGACUGGACUUUACUGGUACAAUGUUACCAAAGGAAAUUUGGGGACUGAAGAAACUAGAACAAUUGGCAUUAUUUGAAGCGCCCAUCGGGGCAGUACACUGGGAAGCUAGUCAGCUUCCAAAAUUAAAGGGAGUGCCCGAGUCGGUCCGCCAAACUUGGAAGAAUGGUGAUCUUGUGUCCGAGUUAUCCGGGGAGAUCCUAUACAUUGAAUUGGCUACUUCGUUCGGUGACAGGGGUGGCAUAACUGUUGGCACAAAACACAUGCACAUUCCAUGGUGGAUCAAGGAUCACUUCAACGACCUUAGCUCCUUGGAUAUCAGGAUCUGCAAACUAGAGGAGCAGGAUCUCAAGAUUUUGCGGGGGAUGCCCAACCUGGAAUAUCUCACGCUAAGGUUUGAAGUCGUCCCAACAGAGCCCAUAGUCAUCAGCGGUGAAGGGUUUCCAAUGCUAAGGCUACUCACUGUUGACAGCCGCAAGCCACCGGUUAUGAGCUUCCAGGAAGGAGCGAUGCCGAUGCUGCAAAGUCUCUGCUUCGAGUUCCAGUUCUACGGUGGCCCACCAAAUAAAGACCCUCUGGGUAUCAAACACCUCCGCUUCCUCAACGAUGUCACCUUUAGUUGCAGCAAAUGGUAUGGAGGAGCAGCAGAGAGCAGCCCGUGCAUCAGCGCCAUGAUUAAAGUGGUGAGGAAAGAAGCCCAGGAGCAUCCCAACUGGAUGCGCUUUUUUGUCACUCGCCGCGAGGAAGAGGAAUUUCCAGCGAACGAGGAGAGCGCACAGGCUUCAAGCAGUGGGACGGCAGAGAUCAAGGAGGAGAUAUUUCAGGCGAAGGAGGUUUCCAGUAGUCAGGGGACGGGCGAGAUCAAGGGGGAGGAGGAGAUCCUGGAAGAAGCUGCGUGA